AUUGAACGCUGGCGGCAUGCUUUACACAUGCAAGUCGAACGGCAGCGCGGGCUUCGGCCUGGCGGCGAGUGGCGAACGGGUGAGUAAUACAUCGGAACGUGCCCAGUAGUGGGGGAUAGCUCGGCGAAAGCCGGAUUAAUACCGCAUACGACCUGAGGGUUAAAGCGGGGGAUCCUCGGACCUCGCGCUAUUGGAGCGGCCGAUGGCAGAUUAGCUAGUUGGUGGGGUAAAGGCCUACCAAGGCGACGAUCUGUAGCUGGUCUGAGAGGACGACCAGCCACACUGGGACUGAGACACGGCCCAGACUCCUACGGGAGGCAGCAGUGGGGAAUUUUGGACAAUGGGCGAAAGCCUGAUCCAGCAAUGCCGCGUGUGUGAUGAAGGCCUUCGGGUUGUAAAGCACUUUUGGCGGGAACGAAAAGGACUGUGCCAAUACCACGGUUCGAUGACGGUACCCGCAGAAUAAGCACCGGCUAACUACGUG
rnacentral:rRNA from 1 species